UACAGAGGGGCAAGCGUUGUUCGGAAUUUACUGGGCGUAAAGGGCGCGUAGGCGGCCCGCUAAGUCGAACGUGAAAUCCCCGAGCUCAACUCGGGAACUGCGUCCGAUACUGGCGGGCUUGAAUCCGGGAGAGGGAUGCGGAAUUCCAGGUGUAGCGGGUGAAAUGCGUAGAUAUCUGGAGGAACACCGGUGGCGAAGGCGGCAUCCUGGACCGGCAUUGACGCUGAGGCGCGGAAAGCUAGGGGAGCAAACGGGG
rnacentral:rRNA from 1 species